rnacentral:lncRNA from 1 species
GGAGGUAAUCCUAUUUUCUCCACUGGCAAGUCAUUAUGCAGAAUCUUGGUGACUAUUUGACAAGUGUAUUGAAGAGUGGAUUCUUUUUCAAGUACUGGUUAGACUAGGUGGCCACUGAAUUUCUUUCUAAUUCUAAAAUUAUGUGAUUCUGGCCUUGAGUCAGACUUCUGGUAGUUAUCUCAGAGUUAAAACAGUUCACUGUUUAUUUCUAUUUUCCUGGACUCUGAGCCAAAAGAGGCCGUUCUCAGAUUCUCUGGAGCAUCUCCAGAUAGUAGGAGUUGAGAGAACAAAAUCUGCAGCACAGCGAGCUGAGAAGAGCCACAGCAACAGGGAAUAGAGCUAGCAGGCUCUAGACCCAUUGGCUAUUGGGUGCUUUGGGGUUAUCAACUCAUCUUCUCUGGCAGUUAUCAGUGGUGAGAGUAUUGCAAGUUAGGAUUCUUGCAGUCUCUCCCAUUUCAAAGAUGCUAAAUCUUUCAGGUGGCUUCAGCCUACUGAUCACUGUCACUGGAAUUGCAUUGGUAGUCCUUUUCCUGCUGUUGGUAGCGAUGUGCAUCCACCACAAUGGAGCCGGUGCUCAUGAACCUGACAUAGAGAGGAACUAUAGACACGUGGGCAGAAAUCGUGUCAGGUGGGUCCAUCCUUGGCCAUUACGUGCUGGGGGCCCCCUUGGACGCCUUCACCACAACCACCGAAACCUCCAUGGUCUCCACCCUCUCCAACCAGGCCACCAUCACCAUCAUCUUCACCAUCAUCACCAUCCUCAUCGUCAUCACCAUGGUCACCGGGCUCAUCGCUGACGACUUUGAUUAAGAAAGGCAUCUAUCUCUGUGGAUUUAGCAGUUUGAGGGAGUCCUGCCUUCCUCUGAAAAUGACAGUUUGAUUUUCUAAAGGACAGUUUGAUUUUCUGCAAGAACCUCAGGACCCAUAGAUUGUGACUCAUAAGAAAAGGACAGUUGGAAGUGUUUGAUUUAAUAGUUAUCUGUUAAUAGUUUAUUAUAUAGAUUGUAAAGCUAUACUGUGUAUCUCUGUGUCUUAGACUAUCUGUGUGUAUGUUUCUAUUUUCUUUUUUUCUUCUCUCAUCUUCAUAUCUGUCUGUAUCUCUCUGUUUUUCUGUCUGUUUCUAUCCCUGUCUCUUUCUACUAGGAUAUAUAUUAAAAUACCUUUGAGCUCUAUUCUUAUAGUUCUGUGUUAUGAGGUCUCUUCUAGCCCUAGUAUUCUCUCCUGUUCUUUUCAAUUCUAACAUUUUGUAUUCUGAAAUCUCUUCUAACAUUUUAUAUAUAUGUAUAUAUAUUUACACAUAUACACACAAAUGUACUUAUAUGUCUUUCUCUUUACUUUCUGAAUAAUUGAUCUAUUACAUUCAUAAACAAUAUGAUAUUGCUUAUAUCUGGGCAGGAAAAAGGAUCAUAAAUCUUUAGUUGGAGUAAAAUUUUAAAAACUAUACAGGGCCUUGUAGGGUGGUAAACAUCUGCCUUUCUGUUUGUUUUGGAGGCUUUCAUAAAAAACAACAUAAAUACUUUAUAACUUUUAAUCUCUGAGAAGGUUUAAUUUUGAUCUGCACUUUUUAUUGUUGAAAUAGGAAGAUUUUUGGUGAUGACAUUUAAUAGCUGGUCAAUGGAAAUGAAAAAUUGGUUGAAAAAAUUUUGUAAUCCUUCAAGAAAAUGAUGAAUAUGUAUGUAAAAAAUGAAAUCUUUCAGUGAGCAAACUUGCUAUUGGGAAAUUUUAAUUGGAAAAUUUGAUAAGCUAUCAGGCUGGUUCAACAAUGUUAGAUAGGUUUCAUGACAUUUAUUGAGAGUAAAAAAAAGAAAUGUUUCUUCAAAAAUGUCCCCUUUCCAUUGCUGCUGUUGUUAUUGUUCAGUAGUUUCAGUCAUGUCCAAUGUUUUGCGACCUCAUGUGGGGUUUUCUUGGCAAAGAUACUGGAGUGGUUUGCCAUUUCCUUGUACAGUUCAAUUUACAAAUGAAGAAACUGAGGCAAACAGGAUUAAGUGACUUGCCUAGGCUUACAUAGCUAGUAAUUGUCUGAGACAAUAUUUUAUCUUCCUAACUUUGGGCCUGACACUCUAUUCCUGUGUCAUAUAGCUACCCUUCCCUCUUAUUAUUUAUGUAGGAAUUUUCAUUUGAAAUAAUCAUUUUUUGUCAUUAUUUGAAAAAAAAUUAGUUCUAGUAAGGGUGAGGAAAUUGUCUGCCAAGAAGACAGUUUGACUGAAGAUGCAGUUAUUUUAGGAGACAUUUAUUGUGAGUUGAAGGACUGGGGGGGGCUGUUGUCCAAGGGGGAUUGUUCUGGGGCAACAAGAUAUUGAGACAAAGCAUAAAGGUUAUCUCAGGAAGUUGCUGUUUAUAGGCAUCCUGGGGAAAAGCCUUAUUCACUCCAUAAUAGUUAUGGGUUUGGUCCAGUUUUUAGUGUCUUGAAAUAUAGAAAUUAUCUAUAUAGCAUUUAAAUUAGUGAAGGAAGAAAAGUUAACAGUUCUGCCAUUAACCUUCUGAGAAUCUUGGACAAAGAGCUUCAGCUCUAUGGGUCAGUGUUUAUUCAUCCCCUAAAUGAGGGGGUUGUUUAAUGUGGUGGGUUUUGGAAUAGGACCAAAAUGACAUCACUAUAUUAAAGUCAAGUUACAGGGUGUCCAAAUGUGGCUGAUCAGACUAACAUGAGAUCAGAAUACUCUGCCAUGGGUCAGACACAAAUAGUCCCUGAGAACAUUGGGAUGGAUUCUCUAACUUUGUCCAUCUCAUAUUUUUUUCUGAGUUAAUUCAAUUCUGCUUUGCUCAUAGAACACAGCACCUUCUCUGAUGAGGGUGUGCCAUGCUGGGCAGUCCUGUGCCAGUGUCUCCCAUGUCAUACAAUUAAUUCUAAAGUUCUUAAUAGAGACCUUGAAAAUGUCCUUUUUCUGACCAUUUUGUGAGCACUUGCCCAGAGAAUGCUUGGCAGUUUAAUCUGAGAAAGGAUCUCACUGUUUAGUUUCUUAUCAUGCCAGGUGAUCUUCAGAAUCUUCUCAGACAAUUCAAAUGAAAACUAUUUAGCUUUCUGGAUAAAAUUCUGUGGUCUACACCAGUGGUUCUCAAACUUUUGUUUUCAGUAUCUUUAUCCUAUUAAAAAUUAUUGAGGAUCUCUCCAAAGCAUUUUUGUUUAUCUGGGUUAUAUUUACAGACAUUUACCAUAUUGGAAAUAAAAACUAUUUUUGAAUUUGUAGACCCUCUAAAAGGGUUUCAGAGAUCCCUGGGAUUCUCUAGACCAUACUUUGAGAACAACUGGUUCUCUUUUAUUCUUAGUCUUGCUCGAUCUCCAUUGCUUUUGGCCUCUCUUAUAUGCAUAGAGUCACAUAAAUAAUCAGCUGCUAAGUCAUAUAGGGGAAUUUGUGGUAUAGUGAAUGGAGCAGUGGAGAGCAAUUCUAGUGGGAGCCAAAAGACCUAGGUUAUAGACUAAGCUCUGACAUAAGAGAAUUGCAUGGUUAACUUCUUUGUCAAAAAAAAUGAGGAAGUUGGUCUAGACUUGCGUUCUUAAUCUUUUUUGCGUCAUUGACCCCUUUGGGAGUCUUUCAUUCAAUAAUAAUUUUAAAUGGAUUAUAAAGGAAACUAUAUUGAAUUAUGGUUAUCAAUUUAUAUUAAAAACAACAAGUUUAUGGACUCCAUAUUAAGAAUUAUCUUCAUCUAGAGGAUCUACCUUUAUCUAGAGGAUGUCUGAAGUUUCUUUCAGCUCUAAAUUCUAUGAUUGGAACCAUAAUUAGGGCAUUUACCACCUGAGGCAAAUGCAUCUGAGAGUGGCCUAGUGACCACUUCCUAUGCUGCUAUUUGAUCAUAGGUUAUUAUCUAGCUAUGCUAUACUACUUUGUUGCCUAACUGUGGUAUAGGGGCACAUUCCCCUGCACAAUUCCAAGAGCCCUUGACCACUACUGUUCAUGGGAAGAGGUUACCUUAGUAAAAAUAAUUAUUAUUUCUCACUUGUUUUAAUAAUUAAUUAUUGAAUUGGGGCCAAGGAUUUUCCCUUUUUCCACUUCCUUAUCCAGAAAUCAACCAGUGUGGGAAAUCUCUCUCAAAGACUUACCUAAAGAGCUAAAUCAAAAACAGUAAAAUAAAUUCUAAGUUUAGGCUAAUGAAUAGAUUUUUGCUCAUUGUGUUUACUCAGGCAGGUUUGGGAAAAUGUGAAUUUUCCUUUUUGUCAGACAGAUGAUAUGGAAAUUGAUGUUUCAAGUCUUAUACCCCAAGACCCUCAUUUUAACAUAGCCCAUUUCCUAUUAUAAUACUCAUUCUUUUUUAUUAUUUAAUGACUAAUUAGAGUUGAUUUUCAUGGUCAGAUCUGCUUCUCUUUCAAAAGACUUAAUAAAUAUUGAAGGUUCACCAGGUUUAUUCCUGUUUUUGUUGACUGUUUUCCAGACAUAGUCAACAAAUCUGAUUUUCAUUUACCCAAAAACUUUUUCUCUUAGAACUUUUUGAAUGUCACAGUUGGGAACUAAUUCCUAGUGUGAUGGCUAUCCAUAGGCUAUUCAGGAGCUUUUGUGCCUUUCUUCCCAGCUAGAAGGUGGUAAAAGGUUUUUGUCUCACCCAGACCUAUCCCUGGAAAUCCUAGAGACCAAAAACAUGUGCUCUCUGGAGUUGGACUGUAGUUGAAGAGAUGCUUCUUUAGCCAGGAGUUGUCUUCUAUUUCCUAGCCCCUCUGCCGAAGAUUGUACCAAUCUGAAGGAGGAGCAUCUCUCCUAGGAUUCACCUACCAGAGACAUAAAGUAUUUUUCUCUUUUUUUGUCUCAUGGGCAGUUGAUCACCAUGAGAAAAAAACAACAGCUAAACUAACUAAAUCUGUUCUCUCAUAUUGUCUGUAACUUCCGUGGAGCAAAGAAUAGAUGGCAUCACUCUAGUUUUUUCUCCAUCAGAUUGAUUAGAGAAAAAGAGAGUAGAGAGCUCUAUAACAGUACAAAAGCAGGCUUGUAGUACAAAUGAUUAUUCACUCAAGUAAUUGACAUAUUAAGGAUUAGAUUACCCCUAAUUUUUAAAAUCUGGUAGCUUAUGAUGGGACUGAAACUGGCUUUGGUGAAAUAGGUAGAUAAUAAUACUUAAUAGUAUGAAUAUGGUAUGGGGAAUAAUCAUGUAUAUUUUUUAUUUACUAGAAAAAUAUUUAUUUUUAUUCAUUUAGAGGCAAUGCAAUCUAGUGGAAUGGAUACUUGUUGUGAAUUCUUUGGACAUGGGUUCAAAUUCCAGCUCUGCUACUUCCCACAUGUGACUCCGUAGUCAUUUCAGCUCCCUAACUCAGGGGUUCCCUAUUUAUAAAAUUGAAGAGACUUUAAAGUCCCUUCCAGAUUUAAAUCUAUAGUUCUUUGAUUCCUUACUCAAGCAUUCUGGGUUUAUAGAAAAAGAGGAGGCAAUACAAAAAUUUAGCUCAAGGGCCUGUGUUCCUUCCCACUUACUGGCCUGGCUACCAGCGAUUUUUUUCUCCCAGAAUGUUUUUUAUUCUGUUUUUUUCAUAAAUGUCUUAGAUUCAAUAGAAAGUUUCUAGAACUUCCCUCCCUUUGGCACUGAGAGCUUGACUUCAUUGCAGAACCCAAAUUUAAACCUUAUGUCUCCACUCAACUUUUCCUCAGUUUUUCUUUAAAGGGAACCAAAAGAAACUGGAUUAUAGGGAAAAGAGAAAAACAUCAGGAGGCAGGACCUCUCCAUUUUAACUCUUCGUCUACCAUUUACUAACUGGGAUCUUAGAUAAACCUCUCUGCCUCCCUGGCUACUCCCCAAAAAAGGGGAUUACAAGGCAUUGUUGGUGUGAAGGUAGUAAACUGGAACAAAAGAUCUUUUGAACUCAGUUGCAGCUGUGGUAUCCAUAGAAUAGAGCCUUCAUAAUGUUCUCUAAAAGAAUGACUGUUAGUUUGGUUUGUUUUUUUUCCCCUACUACAAUAAAGUUAUUGUUCAUUUUCACGUUUCUGGCUGAAAGGAUGGAAAUUCUCAAUCUGUCUUAGAUUGUCAGCUGAGUAAUUUAUUUACUGCUAUUCCACAAGUGUUGACUUGUAGGAGAGCACAAUCUAAGUGGAACAGAGAGGAGUUAGUAGCAAGCCAGAAUGAGAAAUGAAAAACUUUCAUGCUGCAGUGAUUCAUAGGAAUAGAAUGUUUUCAUUUAGUUUUUCCUUUUGUGCGCUCUCUAGUGCUCUCGGUCUCUCUCUCUCUCUCUCUCUCUCUCUCUCUCUCUGUCUCUGUCUCUGUCUCUGUCUCUCUUUCUGCUUCUGUCUCUCUAUCUCUUAAUUCAGAGUAGAAUGAAGGAAAAGAGUUUUUUUUUAAAUAAUUUCUACACUAGAUUCCUUUCCUUUGGGAAAAAAUUAAAUUGUUAUCCUAUGCUUUAAAGUGUUUCUAUACCAAUAGAAUAUUUGCCCCAUUUUUUUCAAGAAUGAAUAUUCUGGCAUCAGUACAAAGUAGCUUAGAGCUUUGGCUGACCCACCAACAUUCUCUACUGUAUUUCUUGCUUUGAAGUAACUGAAUUCCAGCUUUAGUUGGUCCAAUAUAGGUUCCACUAGAUAUCUCUACGCUGUAACGACCUCAACCUCACCAGACAUCAUAUACCAAAUUACUUCUAUUAACAAAGUAAGUAACAAUAUACUAAAAGCCACCAAAUUCCCUACCCAACUCUCCGGAUACUCCUCAGUAGCCAUAGCCACAGUAUAACCAAACACCACUAAUAUCAAAAAUACAAUUAAUCCCAAAAAAGUUACUAUUUAAACUCACAACAAUUGCACAACCCAAACCCCUGCUAACCACAAGACCCAAGAUCCAAACCUCCAUACCCAAGAGAAGGCUUAGAAGCAAAAGCAACAAACCC